GAGGGAUUAUGACUGAACGCCUCUAAGUCAGAAUCCCGCCUGGAAAGCGACGAUGCAUUCGUGCCUCGGCCUCGAGAGGCGUAGCUAGACGGCCGUGUGGCCGUGGAAAGAGCCCGAUUCCGACCCGAGAGGCCGCGGCAAGAGGCGGCCUCGAAGUCGGUGGAUCCUCCUGCUCGAAAGGCGGGGUGCUAAACCAUUCGCAGACGACCUAGUUGAAGAUCGGGGUGUCGUGAUCACUAGAGCAGUACAUCUCACUGCGAUUUGUUGAGAGUAAGCCUCAAGAUCUGUCGGUUUGU
rnacentral:ncRNA from 1 species